UUUUUUUCCCUCUGUCUCUGAAACUAAGUAUGGAUUAUCUCAUGCUGAAGCAUAUUUGAGCUGCAGAUUGCUACCGAAUCAUUUUACUUUAAGAAUUACUUUUUUAAUGGGAAAAAUGUCUUCGAAGAAAAAUCAUUAAAGAUGAAAUCGUUAAAUAUCCAGAUUUUAUAUCCCUUUCUAAAUAAUCUUUACAACAGGUCACGUACAAAAAGAAAGCCACUUACUGCAUUGCGCAGGUGUUACUUCUGGGUUUGUGAUGUGCAUUCUGUGGAUGGCUGUGACAAUUGCACCUGGCUCUUGUUGCAUAUGCGGCAGAUUUCCAAGGCAUCUGCCUCCACUUUCUGACUGCUGUUGUCUUGCUGGGAGCAGCUCACUGCCACGUCCCCCUCCAGGAGAGCAGCGUGAGCUCAGUGUGUGCAGCAGCCCCUGCUGGGCUGCCUCACAGCCAGGGCUGUUCUGUCUGUGAGCACUUGGAGCACUGCAGCCUCCCCAUCGCUCCAGGCUGCAGAACGCCAGGGCCAUGCUGACCGCG
rnacentral:lncRNA from 1 species